rnacentral:tRNA from 1 species
GGGGGUAUUAUGACAAGAUAAUAAGCUUCUAACUUUUUUUCAAGCGGUUAAAUUCCGUUUAUACUCC